GAAUAUUGGACAAUGGGGGCAACCCUGAUCCAGCCAUGCCGCGUGUGUGAAGAAGGCCUUGUGGGUGUAAAGCCGUUUAAGCAGGGACGACGACUCCAUGGUUAAUACCCAUGGUCGAUGACAUUAGCUGCAGAAUCAGUACCGGCUGACUCUGUCCCAGCUGCCGCGGUAAUACAGAGGGUGCAAGCGUUAAUCGGAAUUACUGGGCGUAAAGCGAGCGUAGGUGGCUUGAUAAGUCAGAUGUGAAAUCCCCGGGCUUAACCUGGGAACUGCAUCUGAUACUGUUAGGCUAGAAUAGGUGAGAGGAAGGUAGAAUUCCAGGUGUAGCGGUGAAAUGCGUAGAGAUCUGGAGGAAUACCGAUGGCGAAGGCAGCCUUCUGGCAUCAUAUUGACACUGAGGUUCGAAAGCGUGGGUAGCAAAC
rnacentral:rRNA from 1 species